rnacentral:lncRNA from 1 species
ACAGGGCGGGGCUCCUCCGAAAGGCGGCGAAGGAGGGGGUCCAGUGAGCUCUGGGGAUACCUGGUGAAGGUUGUCUGAGAUCCUCCCAAUGGAAGAUGAGAGGAUGGAGACCCUCGUGGGCAGAGGGCUGAGGGGCAGGGUCCAAUGGGGCCGAGGAGCCCUUCAGUGUUGAGGGGGGCCAGGGACCUGGAGGGUUCAGGGAGGAGGGCUUCUGUGGCGCCUGGAGGUCUUGGAAGGGGCAGAAGAAGGAGCCGCCCAGUGGCUUUACUCUGUCCAGCCGUGCACAAUCGCCGCACAAAAGCUUGCGCAGUCCAGAAAUUCGCCCAGGCCCUGACCAGCGCGCAAGCUCAUUAGUCAUUCAGCAAACAGUUGCUGUAUGCCAACUCUGCCAGGCUGGGAAAACCGGCGCUUGGUAUGGAGAAAGCCCGCCGGACGGGGGCGACACCACAAGUGGAGAAACUUAACUGUUAAGCACCCACUGUGCCAGGUGAGUGGCCCACGCCUGUAAUCGCAGUGUGCCGGGACAAACCAGGUAAAGUGCCCCGGAGGUCUGGUCCCCAGUACCAAAAGGAAACAGAACCACCCCAGCUGCUGUGCGCAGUUCCCCUAAGUACGAUGAACAGAAGGGUAGACACCUGCCCAGGG